CAUUGUCGCAGCUGAAAAAGAGCUGGGCUUCAAAAUGUAACAUCGAAUUGAUUGAAUCAUUCAUUGCUGCAACUACAAGCUACCGAACAACAGUUUGCAGACCUCACCAGUGACGAAUUCAAGCCUUUGUACGCUGGAUUUGGGCCAUACCAAGCAAGCUCGGGGAAGGCAGUGAAGAGCUUCAACUAUGAGAACAUCUUUGCAGUGCCUGCAAGCAUGGAUUGGAGGGCUAAGGGCACAGUUGCUCCCAUCAAGGAUGAGGGCCAAUUUGGGUUCUGUUGGGUUUCGCUGCAGUAGCUGCAAUGGAAGGAAUCACCAAACAGGGCACUGGUAUGCUGAUUUCCUUAUCAGAGCAUGUGCUUGUGGAUUGUGACGUUGAUGGUGAAUACCAACGAUGCAACGAGGGCUAUGAAGAUGUAGCAGGAAACAAUGAGACGACACUUCUUUAAGGCAGCGGCCAAGCAGCCGGCGUCUGUUGCCAUCGAAGCCAGCAAUUCUGCUUUUCAGUUCUAUCCAAGCAGGGUUUCUAGUGGUUACUGUGGGACUGAUUUGCAUCAUGGAGUUGCUGCAGUUGGAUAUGGUGUCGGCGACUGGACCAAACAUUGGCUCGUUAAGAACUCAUGGGGCUCGACAUCAGGCGAGAAUGGAUACAUUAGGGUGGAAAGUGACAUUAAGGCCAAGGAGGGGUGGAGCUUUGCAGUGCCGCCAUGCAGGCAUCUUACCCCACUGCAUGAGGGGAGUGAAUGAACUCUUCAUGGAACCUGCUUACCUUGCCACUGUUGCUGCUCCCCACUGAGGCAGGGUUCCUUAAACUCGGGAUACAUGUCCAGCUUUUUUUAACAAAAAGAAGGCCAGUAAAAUCCUUAGCAAACUAUACGAUGCUUGGAGUCUUCAACAACUUGCUUAUUUAACUGGCGUACAAGCAGUAUGAACUUUCAUGGCAAAGGAAUAUCAGGAAACUAUUUUGUUUAAAGCAGAUAUGGCUCUAGUAUUGGGAGAGCUGUUGUUUGUUCUCUCUGGUUUUUUUUUUUUUUUGAUGAAUGCCGUAGUUUCUUCCAGUAAUUCUCUUUGAGGUUGCUCUUGUAUGAACUAAAAUCCCUUCUUUUGCUUCCUUUUAUCAAUCAUAAAAAAUCAAACAUGGGUGGACUCUCACCUCUUUCUCAAGAAGAAA